rnacentral:rRNA from 1 species
GCAUAUCAAAUAAGCGGAGGAAAAGAAACCAACCGGGAUUGCCUUAGUAACGGCGAGUGAGCGGCAAAAGCUCAAAUUUGAAAUCUGGUACCUUCGGUGCCCGAGUUGUAAUUUGGAGAGGGCAACUUUGGGGCCGUUCCUUGUCUAUGUUCCUUGGAACAGGACGUCAUAGAGGGUGAGAAUCCCGUGUGGCGAGGAGUGCGGUUCUUUGUAAAGUGCCUUCGAAGAGUCGAGUUGUUUGGGAAUGCAGCUCUAAGUGGGUGGUAAAUUCCAUCUAAAGCUAAAUAUUGGCGAGAGACCGAUAGCGAACAAGUACAGUGAUGGAAAGAUGAAAAGAACUUUGAAAAGAGAGUGAAAAAGUACGUGAAAUUGUUGAAAGGGAAGGGCAUUUGAUCAGACAUGGUGUUUUGUGCCCUCUGCUCCUUGUGGGUAGGGGAAUCUCGCAUUUCACUGGGCCAGCAUCAGUUUUGGUGGCAGGAUAAAUCCAUAGGAAUGUAGCUUGCCUCGGUAAGUAUUAUAGCCUGUGGGAAUACUGCCAGCUGGGACUGAGGACUGCGACGUAAGUCAAGGAUGCUGGCAUAAUGGUUAUAUGCCGCCCGUCUUGAACAACGGAC